AUCUCUUGGUUCUGGCAUCGAUGAAGAACGCAGCGAAAUGCGAUAAGUAGUGUGAAUUGCAGAAUUCAGUGAAUCAUCGAAUCUUUGAACGCACAUUGCGCCCUUUGGUAUUCCAAAGGGCAUGCCUGUUCGAGCGUCAUUU
rnacentral:rRNA from 1 species